ACGAACGCUGGUGGCGUGGAUAAGACAUGCAAGUCGAACGGGAGAAUUGCUAGCUUGCUAAUAAUUCUCUAGUGGCGCACGGGUGAGUAACACGUGAGUAACCUGCCUCUUAGUGGGGGAUAGCCCUGGGAAACCGGGAUUAAUACCGCAUACGAUUGAAAGAUCAAAGCAGCAAUGCGCUAGGAGAUGGGCUCGCGGCCUAUUAGUUAGUUGGUGAGGUAACGGCUCACCAAGGCGAUGACGGGUAGCCGGUCUGAGAGGAUGUCCGGCCACACUGGAACUGAGACACGGUCCAGACACCUACGGGUGGCAGCAGUCGAGAAUCAUUCACAAUGGGGGCAACCCUGAUGGUGCGACGCCGCGUGGGGGAAUGAAGGUCUUCGGAUUGUAAACCCCUGUCAUGUGGGAGCAAAUUAAAAAGAUAGUACCACAAGAGGAAGAGACGGCUAACUCUGUGCCAGCAGCCGCGGUAAUACAGAGGUCUCAAGCGUUGUUCGGAAUCACUGGGCGUAAAGCGUGCGUAGGCUGUUUCGUAAGUCGUGUGUGAAAGGCAGGGGCUCAACCCCUGGAUUGCACAUGAUACUGCGAGACUAGAGUAAUGGAGGGGGAACCGGAAUUCUCGGUGUAGCAGUGAAAUGCGUAGAUAUCGAGAGGAACACUCGUGGCGAAGGCGGGUUCCUGGACAUUAACUGACGCUGAGGCACGAAGGCCAGGGGAGCGAAAGGGAUUAGAUACCCCUGUAGUCCUGGCAGUAAACGGUGCACGCUUGGUGUGCGGGGAAUCGACCCCCUGCGUGCCGGAGCUAACGCGUUAAGCGUGCCGCCUGGGGAGUACGGUCGCAAGAUUAAAACUCAAAGAAAUUGACGGGGACCCGCACAAGCGGUGGAGUAUGUGGCUUAAUUCGAUGCAACGCGAAGAACCUUACCUGGGCUUGACAUGUAAUGAACAACAUGUGAAAGCAUGCGACUCUUCGGAGGCGUUACACAGGUGCUGCAUGGCCGUCGUCAGCUCGUGUCGUGAGAUGUUUGGUUAAGUCCAGCAACGAGCGCAACCCCUGUUGCCAGUUACCAGCACGUCAAGGUGGGGACUCUGGCGAGACUGCCCAGAUCAACUGGGAGGAAGGUGGGGACGACGUCAGGUCAGUAUGGCCCUUAUGCCCAGGGCUGCACACGUACUACAAUGCCCAGUACAGAGGGGGCCGAAGCCGCGAGGCGGAGGAAAUCCUGAAAACUGGGCCCAGUUCGGACUGUAGGCUGCAACCCGCCUACACGAAGCCGGAAUCGCUAGUAAUGGCGCAUCAGCUACGGCGCCGUGAAUACGUUCCCGGGUCUUGUACACACCGCCCGUCACAUCAUGGAAGCCGGUCGCACCCGAAGUAUCUGAAGCCAACCGCAAGGAGGCAGGGUCCUAAGGUGAGACUGGUAACUGGGAUG
rnacentral:rRNA from 1 species